UACGUAGGAGGCGAGCGUUAAUCGGAAUUACUGGGCGUAAAGCGUGCGUAGGCGGUUCGCUGUGUCCGAUGUGAAAGCCCCGGGCUUAACCUGGGAAUGGCAUUGGAAACUGGCGGGCUUGAGUGCGGCAGAGGGGGGUGGAAUUCCGCGUGUAGCAGUGAAAUGCGUAGAGAUGCGGAGGAACACCGAUGGCGAAGGCAGCCCCCUGGGUCGACACUGACGCUCAGGCACGAAAGCGUGGGGAGCAAACAGG
rnacentral:rRNA from 1 species